GAUGAACGCUGGCGGCGUGCCUAAUACAUGCAAGUCGAGCGAACGGACGAGAAGCUUGCUUCUCUGAUGUUAGCGGCGGACGGGUGAGUAACACGUGGAUAACCUACCUAUAAGACUGGGAUAACUUCGGGAAACCGGAGCUAAUACCGGACAAUAUUUUGAACCGCAUGGUUCAAAAGUGAAAGACGGUCUUGCUGUCACUUAUAGAUGGAUCGGCGCUGCAUUAGCUAGUUGGUAAGGUAACGGCUUACCAAGGCAACGAUGCAUAGCCGACCUGAGAGGGUGAUCGGCUACACUGGAUCUGAGGCACGGCCCAGACUCCUACGGGAGGCAGCAGUAGGGAAUCUUCCGCAAUGGGCGAAAGCCUGACGGAGCAACGCCGCGUGAGUGAUGAAGGUCUUCGGAUCGUAAAACUCUGUUAUUAGGGAAGAACAUAUGUGUAAGUAACUGUGCACAUCUUGACGGUACCUAAUCAGAAAGCCACGGCUAACUACGUG
rnacentral:rRNA from 1 species